rnacentral:rRNA from 1 species
UACGUAGGGGGCAAGCGUUGUCCGGAAUCAUUGGGCGUAAAGAGCGCGUAGGCGGCCCUGUAAGUCCGCUGUGAAAGUCAAGGGCUCAACCCUUGGAUGCCGGUGGAUACUGCAGGGCUAGAGUCCGGAAGAGGCGAGUGGAAUUCCUGGUGUAGCGGUGAAAUGCGCAGAUAUCAGGAGGAACACCGAUGGCGAAGGCAGCUCGCUGGGACGGUACUGACGCUGAGGCGCGAAAGCGUGGGGAGCGAACAGG